UACAGGGGGGGCAAGCGUUGUUCGGAAUUACUGGGCGUAAAGGGUCUGUAGGUGGCCAACUAAGUCAGACGUGAAAUCCCUCAGCUUAACUGGGGAACUGCGUCUGAUACUGGAUGGCUUGAGUGUGGGAGAGGAAUGCGGAAUUCCAGGUGUAGCGGUGAAAUGCGUAGAUAUCUGGAGGAACACCGGUGGCGAAGGCGGCAUUCUGGACCAUAACUGACACUGAGAAACGAAAGCCAGGGUAGCAAACGGG
rnacentral:rRNA from 1 species